rnacentral:miRNA from 1 species
GGACUCACUGUGUAGUUGAGACUGACCUGGAACUCACUGUGUAGCCCAGGCUGGCCUGGAAGUCAUACUGAUCCUCCUGUCUCAGCCUCCUGCGUGCUGGGAUGACAGGCGUGCGAAACCACGCCCG